UACGAGGGGGGCAAGCGUUGUUCGGAAUUAUUGGGCGUAAAGGGUGCGUAGGCGGCGCGGUAAGUCGGGUGUGAAAUCUCGGAGCUUAACUUCGAAACUGCAUUCGAUACUGCCGUGCUUGAGGACUGGAGAGGAGACUGGAAUUUACGGUGUAGCGGUGAAAUGCGUAGAUAUCGUAAGGAAGACCAGUGGCGAAGGCGGGUCUCUGGACAGUUCCUGACGCUGAGGCACGAAGGCCAGGGGAGCAAACGGG
rnacentral:rRNA from 1 species